CCUUUGAUUUUUUUUUUUUUAGGUUGGUUAGGCUAAGAGAUCAGAACUUCUUUUGGUUACCAGCAAUGAAACCCCACCCAUGUUUGUUCAGAGGAUUUGCUCUUGAGAAAUGUCACUGGGGAAGCUGCCUUAAAUCAACAACAGUUCUUACACACCAGCAGGCGUGACUUCUCUGCGCUGGUAAUAUGAGACUUUGCCUGUAUCUAUGAAAAUGACGCCUGGAAACGCAAUUUUUGCAGACUGGAUUGUGGGCUAAAAAUAAAGACAACACUCAAAGAUGUGUGCUGCUCCUUGUAUGUCCCUGCAGUCUUCCAAGAAUGAAAGAUGGAGAAGCCCCAACUCUUCAGUUCCUAAUCAAAAUACUAAAAGGCAGGCAUGAUCCUUACCUGACUUCAUUUAGAGGAAGAAUAGAAAGAUCAGUCAAUUUCGGUUCUCUCAGUUUCUAAUUUUACAAUCUUAAAUCCAGUUCUUCACAUUUGUGCAACAAUGUGUGAUUUAAAAGCAAAAAAAAAAAAAAAAAAAAAAGAAGCCCUCUUGAAAAUCCAUUAGCAUCUUAGGGCAAAUUUUUCCUAAUGCAUUUGUAUGCCAUUUUGACUAACAUAUACAUUCCUUGCAAGAAUCUUCCCUAAUAUAAUGCAUUUUUGUAUGUUAUUUUCAUGAAUACAUUCAUCGUUAUGCAUACUGUCCCCUGAUAUGCAAUUUUUUUUGGUAAACUUUGCUUGAUUGGAUAACUGCAUCACAAAUUUCAGAUAAGGGUGAAUUUUGAAGGAUGGCUGUGUUUUGGUUCUCCUCUUGUUUCAGGAUGUGUGAAUUAGGUAGCUUUGCCUUUCAGUGCAAAAUGGAUCAAAUUUCUCUUCCAUCCCUAGUUCAGAUAGGCUUCAUAUAAAAAUAGUAUACCUGUCUGAACUUGCCCAGGCCUUAAAACUGGAAAUUUCACAUUUUGGUAUUUGCAAUUAAAAUUGGAAACUACACAUGACCUUAACUGCAGAGUUUUGCACUCCCUAGUUUUCCUCUGACACACACAAACUGCAAAUGCAAGACACUUAUUCUGGAUGAGGAUGGUGUGUGUGUGUGUGUGUGUUAAGGUGGAUAUAAGCUAUAGUCCCUCUUGCAAUCCCUAAUCAAUUGAGGCUCUUUGUUCCUGCAAUCUGUAAUGCCAAAAAUUCCCAUUGAAGCAAAUUCAAUGAGAAUUGAUUUUUUGCAACAGAAAAAAGCAAAUCACAGACCACUGACCAAUUGCAUCUGGAACAGCUCCUAUUUGUUGAUUGCUAGCAACAUCCUUCCAAAGGAAUGCUAGACCAGGCAGACCUCAGUCUGAUCUGCAAGGUGCUGGCUAGGUUCUUAACUACGACAGCAGACUUUGGAUUGUUUAAACACCAAUCAGUAAUGCCAUAAUUGUUAAAGGAUUCUGAGAUUUGCUUUGUGAAUACAAAAGUAGGAGCUGCGGCAAAACACUGCAGGGUGAGUGCUGCUGUUCAGGA